UACGUAGGGUGCAAGCGUUGUCCGGAAUUAUUGGGCGUAAAGAGCUCGUAGGCGGUUUGUCGCGUCUGCUGUGAAAACUCGGGGCUUAACUCCGGGCCUGCAGUGGGUACGGGCAGACUAGAGUGCGGUAGGGGAGACUGGAAUUCCUGGUGUAGCGGUGGAAUGCGCAGAUAUCGGGAGGAACACCGGUGGCGAAGGCGGCUCUCUGGGCCUUUCCUGACGCUGAGACGCGAAAGCGUGGGGAGCGAACCGG
rnacentral:rRNA from 1 species